rnacentral:lncRNA from 8 species
AUGGAAGAGGGAGAGGGAGAGAGAGAGAUAUGGAAGAGGGAGAGAGAGAGAUAUGGAAGAGGGAGAGAGAGAGAUAUGGAAGAGGGAGAGAGAGAGAUAUGGAAGAGGGAGAGAGCGCGAUAUGGAAGAGGGAGAGAGCGCGAUAUGGAAGAGGGAGAGAGCGCGAUAUGGAAGAGGGAGAGAGCGCGAUAUGGAAGAGGGAGAGAGCGCGAGAGACGGAAGAGGGAGAGAGCGCGAGAGACGGAAGAGGGAGAGAGCGCGAGAGACGGAAGAGGGAGAGAGCGCGAGAGACGGAAGAGGGAGAGAGCGCGAGAGACGGAAGAGGGAGAGAGCGCGAGAGACGGAAGAGGGAGAGAGCGCGAGAGACGGAAGAGGGAGAGAGCGCGAGAGACGGAAGAGGGAGAGAGCGCGAGAGACGGAAGAGGGAGAGAGCGCGAGAGACGGAAGAGGGAGAGAGCGCGAGAGACGGAAGAGGGAGAGAGCGCGAGAGACGGAAGAGGGAGAGAGCGCGAGAGACGGAAGAGGGAGAGAGCGCGAGAGACGGAAGAGGGAGAGAGCGCGAGAGACGGAAGAGGGAGAGAGCGCGAGAGACGGAAGAGGGAGAGAGCGCGAGAGACGGAAGAGGGAGAGAGCGCGAGAGACGGAAGAGGGAGAGAGCGCGAGAGACGGAAGAGGGAGAGAGCGCGAGAGACGGAAGAGGGAGAGAUGGGAGAGAGAGAGAGAUGGGAGAGAGAGAGAGAGGGAAGAGGGAGAGAGCGCGAGAGACGGAAGAGGGAGAGAGCGCGAGAGACGGAAGAGGGAGAGAGCGCGAGAGACGGAAGAGGGAGAGAGCGCGAGAGACGGAAGAGGGAGAGAGCGCGAUGGAAGAGGGAGAGAGAGAGAUGGAAGAGGGAGAGAGAGAGAUGGAAGGGGGAGAGAGAGAGAGAGAUGGAAGAGGGAGAGAUGGAAGAGGGAGAGGGAGAGAUGGAAGAGGGAGAGGGAGAGAUGGAAGAGGGAGAGAGAGAGAUAUGGAAGAGGGAGAGAGAGAGAUAUGGAAGAGGGAGAGAGAGAGAUAUGGAAGAGGGAGAGAGAGAGAUAUGGAAGAGGGAGAGAGAGAGAGAUAUGGAAGAGGGGAGAGAGAGAGAUAUGGAAGAGGGAGAGAGAGAGAGAGAUAUGGGA